AUUGAACGCUGGCGGCAGGCUUAACACAUGCAAGUCGAACGGUAACAUAAGAAAAGCUUACUUUUCUUGAUGACGAGUGGCGGACGGGUGAGUAAUGCUUGGGAAUCUGCCUUAUGGAGGGGGAUAACCACGGGAAACUGUGGCUAAUACCGCGUAAUAUCUACGGAUUAAAGUGUGGGACCUACGGGCCACAUGCCAUAAGAUGAGCCCAAGUGAGAUUAGGUAGUUGGUGAGGUAAAGGCUCACCAAGCUGACGAUCUCUAGCUGGUUUGAGAGGAUGACCAGCCACACUGGGACUGUGACACGGCCCAGACUCCUACGGGAGGCAGCAGUGGGGAAUAUUGCACAAUGGGCGCAAGCCUGAUGCAGCCAUGCCGCGUGAAUGAAGAAGGCUUUCGGGUUGUAAAGUUCUUUCAUUAGUGAGAAAGGUACAAAUGUUAAUAGCAUUUGUAAUUGAUGUUAGCUAAAGAAGAAGCACCGGCUAACUCCGUGCCAGCAGCCGCGGUAAUACGGAGGGUGCGAGCGUUAAUCGGAAUAACUGGGCGUAAAGGGCAUGCAGGCGGUUAUUUAAGUCAGAUGUGAAAGCCCCGAGCUUAACUUGGGAAUUGCAUUUGAUACUGGGUAACUAGAGUCCUCUAGGGAGGGGUAGAAUUCCACGUGUAGCGGUGAAAUGCGUAGAGAUGUGGAGGAAUACCGAAGGCGAAGGCAGCCCCUUGGAGAGAGACUGACGCUCAUAUGCGAAAGCGUGGGUAGCAAACAGG
rnacentral:rRNA from 1 species